rfam:Pichia sorbitophila strain CBS 7064 chromosome J complete sequence.
AAUUCUUGUUUCUCGUGCGGCGCCAUGACUAUAACCGUGUUACUUGCCUUAUUCGCUACAUACGAUAUGGUAGGUGUCAAGUCACUGGCUAGAGAAACUAGGCCAUCUUAGUGCUCUUUCGAUGAUUUGUUAAAGAUACAUUAGAAGAAAUUUUAGUGGAUCACCAGGAAUCAUCGAGGGCCGGUAGGUCAAACAUUC